rnacentral:tRNA from 1 species
GGGGAUGUAGUUCAAUAGAGCAGCAUUUGCCUGACAUGCACAGGGCCCUGAGUUCAAUCCUUAGUAACCCCC